GGGUGUAGCAACUGAUCUGAUUCUUCAGCUGGUGACCACUAUGAGUGAAUUCAGGUGUGCUGAACAAACAGGCAGAAGAAUCCAGCAGUACCACCAAUGCUACUACUACACUAGGAGAGCCCAGCGAAAGGGCCACUGUACAAUCAAAUACAUCUAUAAUUACUGUGAAAACGUUUUACGGUAAGCUCAGAUGUCUGAAGAUGGAAAGAUGGAUGGACCAAUCUGACAGCACAAAUUGCACAAGGUAAAAAUCCUGCAUGUCUCUACAGGCCUUCCUCUCAAGCUACAGGGCUGAGUGGUCAGAAUUUCACAAAGAGUUUUAAUUAAUCAACCUGAUUACCACAAGGGUUUUAUUUUUGGUUUUAACUGAUAAACACCGAUAUAACCCUUAAAACAAAAAAAGUUACAUGUGUGUGUCCUAUAAAAACUGAAAGGACAUUGGAGACCGCUACUUAUUUGGUGUUCAUGGUGCAGUUUACUGUAUUUUGUUUCAAUAGAGGUGCAGCACUCGCUGUCCUGCUAUUUGAUAUGGUCAAUUGACUUUGCAUACAAUAUCAAAAAUAAGCCCAGAAAAACUGCA